GAGUUUGUAUCAUGGCUCAGGAUGAACGCUAGCUACAGGCUUAACACAUGCAAGUCGAGGGGAAACGACAUCGAAAGCUUGCUUUUGAUGGGCGUCGACCGGCGCACGGGUGAGUAACGCGUAUCCAACCUGCCCACCACUUGGGGAUAACCUUGCGAAAGUAAGACUAAUACCCAAUGACGUCUCUAGAAGACAUCUGAAAGAGAUUAAAGAUUUAUCGGUGAUGGAUGGGGAUGCGUCUGAUUAGCUUGUUGGCGGGGUAACGGCCACCAAGGCGACGAUCAGUAGGGGUUCUGGAGAGGAAGGUCCCCCANAUUGGAACUGAGACACGGUCCAAACGUCCUACGGGAGCA
rnacentral:rRNA from 1 species